rnacentral:rRNA from 1 species
UGGGGAAUUUUGGACAAUGGGCGAAAGCCUGAUCCAGCAAUGCCGCGUGUGUGAAGAAGGCCUUCGGGUUGUAAAGCACUUUUGUCCGGAAAGAAAUCCUUGGCUCUAAUACAGUCGGGGGAUGACGGUACCGGAAGAAUAAGCACCGGCUAACUACGUGCCAGCAGCCGCGGUAAUACGUAGGGUGCAAGCGUUAAUCGGAAUUACUGGGCGUAAAGCGUGCGCAGGCGGUUUGCUAAGACCGAUGUGAAAUCCCCGGGCUCAACCUGGGAACUGCAUUGGUGACUGGCAGGCUAGAGGUAUGGCAGAGGGGGUAGGAAUUCCACGUGUAGCAGUGAAAUGCGUAGGAGAUGUGGAGGAAUACCGAUGGCGAAGGCAGCCCCCUGGGCAAUACUGACGCUGCA